GGUUAAGCGACUAAGCGUACACGGUGGAUGCCCUGGCAGUCAGAGGCGAUGAAGGGCGUGCUAAUCUGCGAUAAGCGCCGGUAAGGUGAUAUGAACCGUUAUAACCGGCGAUACCCGAAUGGGGAAACCCAGUGUGAUUCGUCACACUAUCAUUAACUGAAUCCAUAGGUUAAUGAGGCGAACCGGGGGAACUGAAACAUCUAAGUACCCCGAGGAAAAGAAAUCAACCGAGAUUCCCCCAGUAGCGGCGAGCGAACGGGGAGGAGCCCAGAGCCUGAAUCAGCAUGUGUGUUAGUGGAAGCGUCUGGAAAGGCGCGCGAUACAGGGUGACAGCCCCGUACACAAAAGCGCAUGUGCUGUGAGCUCGAUGAGUAGGGCGGGACACGUGGUAUCCUGUCUGAAUAUGGGGGGACCAUCCUCCAAGGCUAAAUACUCCUGACUGACCGAUAGUGAACCAGUACCGUGAGGGAAAGGCGAAAAGAACCCCGGCGAGGGGAGUGAAAAAGAACCUGAAACCGU
rnacentral:rRNA from 21 species